GAUGAACGCUGGCGGCGUGCCUAAUACAUGCAGGUCGAGCGAACGGACGAGAAGCUUGCUUUUCUGAUGUUAGCGGCGGACGGGUGAGUAACACGUGGAUAACCUACCUAUAAGACUGGGAUAACUUCGGGAAACCGGAGCUAAUACCGGAUAAUAUUUUGAACCGCAUGGUUCAAAAGUGAAAGACGGUCUUGCUGUCACUUAUAGAUGGAUCCGCGCUGCAUUAGCUAGUUGGUAAGGUAACGGCUUACCAAGGCAACGAUGCAUAGCCGACCUGAGAGGGUGAUCGACCACACUGGAACUGAGACACGGUCCAGACUCCUACGGGAGGCAGCAGUAGGGAAUCUUCCGCAAUGGGCGAAAGCCUGACGGAGCAACGCCGCGUGAGUGAUGAAGGUCUUCGGAUCGUAAAACUCUGUUAUUAGGGAAGAACAUAUGUGUAAGUAACUGUGCACAUCUUGACGGUACCUAAUCAGAAAGCCACGGCUAACUACGUG
rnacentral:rRNA from 1 species